rnacentral:rRNA from 1 species
UAGGGAAUAUUGGGCAAUGGAGGGAACUCUGACCCAGCCAUGCCGCGUGCAGGAUGAAGGCGUUAUGCGUUGUAAACUGCUUUUAUAUAGGAAGAAAUAGUCCUUGCGAGGAAAGUUGACGGUACUAUAUGAAUAAGCACCGGCUAACUCCGUGCCAGCAGCCGCGGUAAUACGGAGGGUGCAAGCGUUGUCCGGAUUUAUUGGGUUUAAAGGGUGCGUAGGCGGUUUAUUAAGUCAGUGGUGAAAGACGGUCGCUCAACGAUUGCAGUGCCAUUGAUACUGGUAGACUUGAGUAUGAUUGAGGUAGCUGGAAUGGAUAGUGUAGCGGUGAAAUGCAUAGAUAUUAUCCAGAACACCAAUUGCGUAGGCAAGUUACUAAGUCAUAACUGACGCUGAGGCACGAAAGUGUGGGUAUCAAACAGGAUUAGAUACCCUUGUAGUCCCUGAGCGGGCUGGCAAGGCGCAU